CCCUUAGAUGUCCUGGGCCGCACGCGCGCUACACUGACGGAGCCAGCGAGCUUACCCCUUUGCCGAAAGGCAUGGGAAAUCUUUUGAAUCUCCGUCGUGCUGGGGAUAGAUCAUUGCAAUUAUUGAUCUUGAACGAGGAAUGCCUAGUAGGCGCAAGUCAUCAGCUUGCGUCGAUUACGUCCCUGCCCUUUGUACACACCGCCCGUCGCUCCUACCGAUUGGGUGUGCUGGUGAAAUGUUCGGAUCGGCCGUUUGUCGCGGUUUCCGCGUCAUGUGGCUGAGAAGUUCAUUAAACCCUCCCACCUAGAGGAAGGAGAAGUCGUAACA
rnacentral:rRNA from 1 species